GGGAAACUGCCUGAUGGAGGGGGAUAACUACUGGAAACGGUAGCUAAUACCGCAUAACGUCGCAAGACCAAAGUGGGGGACCUUCGGGCCUCAUGCCAUCAGAUGUGCCCAGAUGGGAUUAGCUGGUAGGUGGGGUAACGGCUCACCUAGGCGACGAUCCCUAGCUGGUCUGAGAGGAUGACCAGCCACACUGGAACUGAGACACGGUCCAGACUCCUACGGGAGGCAGCAGUGGGGAAUAUUGCACAAUGGGCGCAAGCCUGAUGCAGCCAUGCCGCGUGUGUGAAGAAGGCCUUCGGGUUGUAAAGCACUUUCAGCGGGGAGGAAGGCGGUGAGGUUAAUAACCUCACCGAUUGACGUUACCCGCAGAAGAAGCACCGGCUAACUCCGUGCCAGCAGCCGCGGUAAUACGGAGGGUGCAAGCGUUAAUCGGAAUUACUGGGCGUAAAGCGCACGCAGGCGGUCUGUCAAGUCGGAUGUGAAAUCCCCGGGCUCAACCUGGGAACUGCAUUCGAAACUGGCAGGCUAGAGUCUUGUAGAGGGGGGUAGAAUUCCAGGU
rnacentral:rRNA from 1 species